CGCGCCUCCUGUUUCAAUUGCCUUUCCUUCACCGCGCGCAGCAGUUUCAAUCACAUCAGCAUGAAGAAGCUAAGCAUCGUUUUCGUCGCAGUCCUGCUGCUGGCUCUCCAUCUCACCUCCCAGGUGGCUGAGGCAGACGGAGGCGGAGGCUCCCACAGCCCGAACGUGAAUGCAACUGCCAAACCGACGGGGAGCGCCAGCGGGAGUCCCGCCGCCUUCACGCUGCUCGUCGCUCCGCUGCUUCUGUCCACGGUUCUCCUGCACGGCUGGUCCGGAUGAUCUGAUCCGCGCUGGACAUUCGGAAGCCGGCAGGGGGCACAACGUUAGUGUUUGAUAAAAGGCAGAAAAAGGAAAUCACAUAAAGUAGAGCGCUUAACUAUUUACUGUGUUGAGCGGGCGAAACGAGCGCGACGCGGCCCGGGUCGCGCCCUGCUCCUUUCCGCAUCCUGCUCUUCAUCAACUCUGAAACGCAACCAAUCCUCCGGCCAGUAACGGAACAUGCUCGAUGAUAAUUCAGAAAUAUUGAACCCUGUGGAAAACACGUGUAUUCACAACGACUGUAUGUAAUGAGUUCUGUACUUUCAGAAUGAUGCAAAUCUGAUGUUUGACAUGUGAAUCCUGUGAAAUUAAACUUUAAAUUGUAAAAUAUA